rnacentral:rRNA from 1 species
UACGUAGGGGGCGAGCGUUGUCCGGAAUUAUUGGGCGUAAAGAGCGUGUAGGCGGUUCGGUAAGUCUGCCGUGAAAACCUGGGGCUCAACCCCGGGCGUGCGGUGGAUACUGCCGGGCUAGAGGGUGGUAGAGGCGAGUGGAAUUCCCGGUGUAGCGGUGAAAUGCGCAGAUAUCGGGAGGAACACCAAUUGCGAAGGCAGCUCGCUGGGACGUUACUGACGCUGAGACGCGAAAGCGUGGGGAGCAAACAGG